AGUUCCUUAAAAGAAGGAGAAGGAGGAGGAGGAGAAGGAGAAGAAGAAGAAGAAGAAGAAGGAGAACUUCUUUCUCCUCCUCCUGGACUUCUUUCUCCUCCUCCUCUUCUUCUUCUUUGG